UGGUAUCUAUUUAGGUUGUGCAAAUCACUGCAACUCAGUUUCUCAGUGAGCAAUGGCAAAUCUUGGGUUGAUGGUCAUGUUCUUAGUGGUGAUUGGUCCAAACAUCUGCCAAGGUUGCGGGGGAUAUUGUCCCUCUUACUCUUCUCCUGUCUGUUGCUACGACGAUGACUUCGGCUUCUACCAGUUCCAGAACAUCUGCUUCAUGCGACUCGCAAACAAAUGCAGAGGCACAGGAUUUUACGUCGUCGAUCCCUCUUACUGCGGCUGGUGAAACCACAUGUAAAUUAAUUGUAAAUAAAAAUAUCAUCCCAUAUUUCCU